UACGGAGGGUGCAAGCGUUAUCCGGAUUCACUGGGUUUAAAGGGCGCGUAGGCGGCAUGACAAGUCACUUGUGAAAUCUCCGGGCUUAACUCGGAACGGUCAAGUGAUACUGUCGCGCUAGAGUGCGGAAGGGGCAAUCAGAAUUCUUGGUGUAGCGGUGAAAUGCGUAGAUAUCAAGAGGAAUACCUGAGGUGAAGACGGGUUGCUAGGCCGACACUGACGCUGAAGCGCGAAAGCCAGGGGAGCAAACGGG
rnacentral:rRNA from 1 species